CUAUUACUUUAGCAGCAGCUGCUCGGAACUCAUUGAUCCAGUGGAAAGGCAGGAGGAAGGUGACCAUAUAAAGAGGAAGGGAAAAAGAGAGCCUGGCUUAUGGGGGUCACAAUCAGUGGAUUUCCUGCAGGCCAGCAUAUCCAGUGGGUCACUGCAAUGUUUUAGCGUGUGUAUUGUUGAGCCGGAACGUGGGGAGAGUUUAAGGUGUGGUCAGUUUGGACAUAAUGUCCGAGGGAGGAAGUGUGUUCCGCUGAAGUAAAGGGUCAGCGUUGUGUUUCUGAAUGAAGAUCAGUGAAAAUCGGCGAGUGAGUGGGAAAGGCUGAGUAUUUCUCUAAUGUCAGUCCAAUGUGCAGCUGUGUUGGAUUGAACUAAUGACUAGCAAAAGUGUAGCUGUGUAAUUCAGGAGUUUGUUUUUGAAUGUAAGAGUGAUUUCAUGAUUGGGUGCCGUUUAUACGAUGUAACUCUAAAAAAAUGCAUCUUUGCUUUUUCAUUUUUCACCAUUGAAUACAAUUAAAUGUGUUAACCCGUCCAAGGUAAGGGUUUGUUUAUUGAAAACGGUUGUAGAGUGGAACGUUACAGAAAUAUUUUUAGCACAGAAAACAUUUCUAAUUAGCAUCCAUAUUAUCACAAGGACUUUAAAGACAUUUGAAUGAUUUCAUUCUUUUUUUUAUAUAAUAAUAACUGAGUAACAUGUGACCUCCUCAUAGGCUCCAGGCUCCCCUGUGAACCAUUUUCUUCUUCCCGUGAUGUUCAGUGAAAUUCGGAUGACACAACGUCCUGUUGACUUUCCUGUUGAAUAUUCCAAAUAUUUCAUAGGGGUGAGUGUGGUCAGGUAACAAAGUUGACUAGGAUGCAACUAAAAGCCAUGACUCAUGGAAAAGGAUGACAUUUUAAAUGAGAUGGAUUUCACCUUAAUGCCACAAUACAUUUCUGAAGUACAUUAAUGUUUAUAUUGCAAGGUUACGUGAAAGUAAAAUGAUGUUUUUUUAAGUGCUGAAGAGGUUUUAAGCUAUUUAUCAGAAACCUGCAUAUAGGUUGUUGUUGGUUGCCUACGUUUAAAUAUCAUUUAUCUUUACUUUGACUUUGCAUAUAUAUUUGUAAGAGGACUAUCAGUGGAAUCACGGAAUCACCAACUGGAUUUAAAGAAAAUCAGGGAAAGUCUGAAGUGGACAAAUGCAGAAUGUAUUCAGUUUUCUAAAUUGUUAUUCUGUUUAUCAUCUGGCCUUUCCCACACGUUGUCCUCUGUGACAAGCCAGCUUUGCCACUGUGUGUUUAUCAGGCCACCACUUGCCUCUCAUCUGCAACACCUUGAGCCUUUGUGAUUACUCCCCCGGGAUGACUCGCUCAAGCGUUUGUUUGAAUUACAAAGUGCACGGUCAAAGACUGGCCAUGCGGCUCCUUGGAAGUAAAUCUGGAACUGCUUUCAAGUCUAAGGUGUGAGGUGUGAAGAGAUGCCAUGUCAACCUGUGCUGUCUUCAUUGGACGGAUUUCUCUGAAGCUGGGGUAAAAGGGGGCAACUGGUGAUGGGCAACACAUCAGGAGCAAAAGGGGAGAAAGAUGAGUUAUUGCCAUGUGGAGAGGGGGUUUUAGAAGGGCACAGACAGACGCACGGCCGUCCAAUGAGUCAAAUUGCAUGAAGGGGAGGAUAAAUGAGAUCCAGAUCUUCCUUGGAUGCCUACAAUGCUGUUCCAAUUAGCAGGCUGUCUGGUUCAAAGGCAAGACCUCGAUACACUUCUGCUCGGCACGAUCCACAUCUCAUCACCCCCCCUUAUGACUUUCACCUCCGUUAUCACUCCGCUACCUUUUAUCUCUCACUCUCUCAAAUUUAGAUUUCAAGAAUUUUGUCGGUGCAUGACUACAUCCGGUUAGUGUUUUAUCGAAGCACAUGCUUACAGUACGUGAGGGGGAAAUGUUUCACUGAAAAUAUCAGUGUGCAAAAAAGAAAUAAUAUAAUUCAUUUUUCUAUUAAUAUAAAAUGCCAUGUUCUGCUUGCAUCAUCAAUCAGUCCAAUCCAGGCUCAAACAGAAAACCGGCUCGCAUCAACACCAACAUUCAAGUGAGCUUACAGUAAUAAAGAUAUUUAUUAGCAUGUCGUGUUUACCUUUUAUCAGUGCCACUUCUGUAUUUUUAUCUGACCUGUGAGUUUUGGAUAAUCUUAUGCUGUCUUUCUAUAGGUGGCUUUCAGGCAAGUGUCAUAGCAACAGUCACAGCCUAAGAUUUUAAUCAAAAAAUUUCUCACGUUGCCAGAACUUUGUUUUCCACUCUGACUAAAUCGACCGAAAAUGAGUCCGUUGCAUCAUGUGUUCUAAGAUGGCCGAUCUCGAUUCACAACCGAAGAGUUGUUUUACGAUGUGUGCGUCUCAACCAGCUCCCUACCAGAUCAGGGAGUCGGCCAUUUUAAGGGUGGUUUCAAUCGCAAAAUCCUUCUACUGCACUGGAACGUUCGCUCCCUAAAAUAUCCUCAACACACCGUAAAAAACAGGGAUCAUUGAUGCUAACUUUUUCCUCUUACUGGUACUGACGUCGUGUUUUCUGAAGCCUCUCCGCUCAAAAUAAAUGGUGGGACAACUUUUGUCUACAAAUAUAUUCUAUGAUCCUGCUUGAAGUACCAUGACAGAAACGUGUGAUAUUGCCGACGUUUUUCAGCGAGAUCUCAGUUCCCUUUGAUUCACUGCCCGACACUUUCUCCAGGAGAAACUGCCCCACAGAUGUUCCUCCAGAGACUACAAAGAAGGAGGCCUUUAUGAGGAGCGAGUCUAUUUCAGGUCCUCUGCAUUUCCAAGCUGUGUGGCUUUGAAAGGAUGAUUCCAUUGGGCUGAACCUAGAGAAAGGGAACCUCAGUCUAAGCGUGACACGAAGCCUGGACCUAUGUGCAGGAACUCACUCUGAGGACUAUUGUCUUUCAACAUUGACAUGGGGUUUGGGAGCAGGGAGUGGUGAACAACUGGUCUAUCCCUGAGAUAUGUUGACCGCCACCGGAUGCUGGACUGAUCCACUGAGGUACGAACACUGACCAACAGUAAGAAAAGGCCACAAGGAUCAAGCCCUUAUGGAGUGUUACAAAACGUGGUGAGGACACGUGUAAAGUGUUGCAGCUUGCAUGGAGGAUAUAGUCUGUGUUCGUUGCCUGCAAAACUAGCACAUGUUUCUGGGUUUAACGUCACGCCAGACAGGUGUUUAUGCUCAGAAGACAUCUUUAUGGUGAAAUAUCACAGUUAAGGGCUGCAUUUUGUCUGAAAGUAAGAGUGAGGUGAGAAAGGUUAAAAAAAUGAAGGAGACUGAGAAAGGGAAGAAAAAUUUUGGACGCUAGUUCAGUAUGGCCUUGAUAAGAUGUUGGGAUGGGUCCAAUGCAAAAUAUAUGCAACCGAGCACUAAGCACCUGGUAAUACUCUUCAUUAGUGGCUGAUGAUACAACACACAUGCACCAGCACAACUAAAUACAUUACACACACAAACACAUUCAGUUAGGCAAGGAGCCUAGAGAUGAUGGGAAUCCUUGCAUUAGGCCAUAGGGCUGUAAAAAUGGGCAGCUGACUUAUGAUCACUUCCCAUUUCCUCAAAUCUAUGAAGAGUUACACUAGAAUACACUGUAUAGACUACUGCUGAUGGCCAUCAUGCAUGUACAAAGAUCAGCCAUAACAUUAAAACCACCUGCCUAAAAUAGUGUAGGUCCUCCUUGUGUCAGCAAAACAGCUCUGACCCAUUGAGGCAUGGACUCCACAAGACCUCUGAAGGUGUGCUGUGGUAUCUGGCACCAAGACGUUAGCAGCAGGUCCUUUAAGUCCUCUAAGUUGCGAGGUUGGGCCUCCAUGGAUCAGACUUGUUUGUGAAGUACAUCCCACAGAUGCUAGAUCAAAUUGAGAUCUGGGGAAUUUGGAGGCCUAGUCAACGCCUUAGACCCUUUGUCAUGUUUCUCAAACCAUUCCUCAACAAUUUUUGCAGUGUUGCAGGGUGCAUUAUCCUGCUGAAAGAGGAUAAAGAGGCCACUGCCGUUAGGGAAUACUGUUGACAUGAAGUGGUAUACUUGAACUGCAACAAUGUUUAGGUAGGUGAUAUAUGUCAAAGUAACAUCCACAUGAAUGCCAGGAUCCAAGGUUUGCCAGCAGAACAUUGUCCAGAGCAUCACACUGCCUCUGCUGGCUUCCUUCUUCCCAUAGUGCAUCCUGGUGCCAUCUCUUCCCCAGGAAAGUCACACACACACACACACACACACACACACACACACACACACACACACACACACACACACACACACACACACACACACACACACACACAGCAUCCACAUGACGGAAAAGAAAACAUGAUGCGCUAGCCUUAGCUCCCAACGCACAUCAAUGAGCCUUGGGCACACAUGACCCUGCUGCCAGUUUACCGUUUUGUCCUUCCUUGGAACACUCUUCAUAGGUACUCAGCACUGAAUACCAGGAACACCCCACAAGACCUGUUGUUUUGGAGAUGCCCUGGCCAAGUUGUCUGGCCAUCACAAUUUGGCCCUUGUCAAAGUCACUCAGAUCAUUACACUUGCACAUUUUUCCUGCUUACAACGAAUCGACUUUGAGAACUGACUGUUCACUUACUGCCUAAUGUAUUCCACCCCCUGACAGUUGCCACUGUAAUGAGAUAAUCAAUGUUAUUCCCUCCACCUGUCAGUGGUUUUAAUGUUAUAGCUAAUCGAUGUAGUAUCAUUUUGACUAUUUACCUUGGUAUUAUGCUAUCUGACCUAUAGUUAAGUGAACUAGCCUAAUAAUCAUUUUCAUGCUACUUUAGUUUGAACUUGUUUGAACAGUCUGAUAAAUGAUUUAAAAAAUAUAGCUAGCUACGUCAGACCUCUAGUGUCAAUGCUGGAAAGGGAUUAAGGUGGAAAGACUGCAAAAACUAUGGGAAAACAUUGGCCUCCGGUGCCCCGAUGUGUCAGGGUCCUUAUAUGGCGUGUGUUUUGUUUUGUUUUUUAAUUAAUUAAUUUAAUUUUCCAUUUAUUUAUUUGUUUGUUUGUUUACAGCAUAAAAUAUAGGACAUAGAAUUAUGGGGACAUUUAAUGGUCCUCAAAAUGCAUUUUACUUUUUUUUUCCUUUUCAUUUAACCAUGUACAGGGUUCAAUAGGGUACAGGGUUCAAUAGGGGAAAACCUAUACCAACAAUUCUGUGUGUGUGUGUGUGAGAGAGAGAGAGAGAGAGAGAGAGAGAGAGAGAGAGAGAGAGAGAGAGAGAGAGAGAGCGAGAGAGAGAGAGAGAGCGAGAGAAUUAUGAUGAAUAUUCAAGUGAAUGAUUCCAGCUGCUUCAUCUUUGCAUCUCACUGAGGAUCUCUCAUUGUCCUGCACUGAGAAACGCCGAAAACAAUCUAACAAUAUGUCACUUGAAGACAUCCAAAUGGCCUCUUUCAUUUAGAUUAGUUACACUGCACUACAGUAGCUUAGUACUAAUAAGGAAAUAUGUGAGCUUGUCCAACAAACACACAUUUUACAUCCAUUACUAGCAUUAUGAAUAUCCCUCUCAGCUAUUUUAUUUUAAAACCCAAUAACGCUGACGGAUGUUGACCCUAAUGGUUUAUAUGAAUAAAAGAGGACAAUCAGGGCAAAGUUGAAGAUCAGAACAAUGCACUGCUGAUCGUUCUGAAACACAGGUUCUUCCUCUUAAGCUCUUCCUUUGUAUGAUUCUAGGAAACUAUAAAAAGGGGUUUCCCUAGAGAAUGAAUACAAAGAACCCCAAAAUGAUUGUCCUAGGGUUUGCUUUUCUUUGCUUUCUUGUGGUGGAGCCUCUCUCUAGCAGGUGAAACUGUGCUGCAACAAACAGGACAGACUAGAACUAGAAACAAGUUACCGAUAAAUAUAAUGGAAAACACCUCGAUAGCUCAGGUGGUAGUGCAUCAGACUUGUCCUUCAACUCUAAGCUUAUUAUUUAGUUGAGUAUUUAAAAUUAUACAAUUGAGUAACUAAUACAGGGGAUUGUUUUUUUUUUUUUUUUUUUUUACUAACUACAGUGACAUUAAUAGAAAAAGGUAUGGAGGUGUGAGAGUCCUGUGAGUUUAAAUGGAUAUUCUAAGGGACCAGGGUUCAAGCUGUGAUACAGUAAAGGAUGAUGACAAGCCAAUGGCGAGCCUCGAUUCUACAAGUCUCUGGGGCUGUUCGGGAGGGAUAAAUACCAUUUGUCCAAAAGAUAUUCCUUCAGCUGGCAUUUUCAGGAUAAUUAUAAUGAUGAUAAUGAGUCUUUAUCGGUCAUAUAUACAUAUACACAGUGAAAUUAUUUUCUUUGCAUACCCCAGCAUGUCAGGAAGCUGGGAUCAGAGCGCAGGGUCAGCCAUUAUACAGCGCUCCUGGAGCAGAGAGGGUUAAGGGUCUUGCUCAAGGGCCCAACAGUGGCAGCUUUGCAGUGUUGGUUCUUGAACCCCCAACCUUCUGAUCAGUAACCAAGAGCCUUAACGCCUUAGUGCUGGAGAGAGCUACGUAAAAUCCCAUAAGUGUUUAAUUGGGUUGAAAUUUGGGGUGACUGUGAAGGCAUUCUCAUUCUCAUCAAACCAUUCACUGAUGCCUCAUGCCCUGUCAAUGGGGGCAGAGUCAUCCUGAAGAGACCACUCCCAGCAGGAAAGAAAUGUUUAUCAUACUUAUUAUAUUACUUUAGUUAUCACCUUAUUUGACUGGUUGUUUUACUUGAAUGGGUUUAAUCCCAACCCUAAUAACUCAAAAAAAUAAGCAGGGAUAUGAAUUCAAUUUGAAUUCAAAGGACAAUUAUAAUAAAAAUGCGGUCUGUGUAUGGAGCAUUCAGGAAUAAAAAGCACAUUUUACUCAACAUUAUUGAUUUUUUUCUUUUUUUAAUGAGAAUAUUUUAAUGAUAUUUGAUAUCAAAAUAUUUGAAUAGUUGGACGUUUACUUCAUUCAUAGUAUAAAUCUGUUCUGAGGCAGUGUGUGGAAUCCUGCUCAUUCAAUUAUUCAUUCAUUCACUUGUUCAUUUUUGUUUUUACUGUUAAAUUGUUCCAUGGUUGUACACGGUUUUCAACAUAGAGGUUUAAAAGAAAUGAUUUGCCUGGCAAAAUGAAGAAAAGAAAAGAAAAUAAACUAUCAUAUUGCAUUUAUGCAAUAAUAUGUAAAUCUUUAGAGUUUGUAAACAUGCUGCAAAUAGAGGAUUCUUCUUUAAUCACAGUGUGCUAAAAUUCCACUCAGGAAUCACCUCAUCCAGGUGUUUCAUCUAGCAUUAAUGUCUUAGUCUUAGCAUUACCCAGUGCCAGAUGUGCAUUAAGCACAAGCUUCAUUUAUAGCAGAUCAGAGAAGCCUAAUCUGAGCGUCAGGUCUGGAGCCUUGUUUACAGAGUGGAGCUGUAAUUAACAUUGGGACGGCUGGUACUUGGGAGAGGGAGACGGGAGUUUGGCGCAGGGGCCCAGAUUACAACCACAUAAAUAAUCAGCCUCAAUUCUCACUGCUGCUAUCACUGCUACAGUCUAGAGCUGUGGAACUCCCACAUCCUCUCUACAGAACAGAUCAGGCACACACACACACACACACACACACACACACACACACACACACACACACACACACACACGCACACACAAACUGACCUACUCCUAUCCCACUGAGACUGAGGUAUUUUUAUUCUCAGAGCUGAUGUUUUAAGGAUCUAGAGUCCAUCCUGUAUGGUGAUAUUUGUUAAGGAAAUAGCCUGAGCGCCAUUCCUUCUUCUCCUUCUCCCCCCCUAUCUCUCUCUCACACACACUCUCUCUCGCUCACUUUUGCUUGAUUAGACAAAGUUUCCACUGCUCUUAUCAUUCGCCAUCACAGUACAGUUUGUUUCUCUUCAUUUCAUUUCAGCUUUCAUCAAUCUACUCUGGGCCGAGCCAAUACGUUAUGCAGCUGGUUUUUUGUUUUCUUUAGUUUCUUUAACCUUUUUUUUAUGAACUGAAACUUACACUGUCGUCAGUUAAGGAUAAACUCUCUGUGAUGGUAGUUAGAGCAGCUACUGUAGAGCCAAAUAUGCCAAAGCCCUUGUAUAAGAUAUAGGCUAUAGAUAAAGAAUGCUCCAAAAUAUA